UACGAAGGGUGCAAGCGUUACUCGGAAUUACUGGGCGUAAAGCGUGCGUAGGCGGUUUGUUAAGUCUGUCGUGAAAGCCCCGGGCUCAACCUGGGAAUGGCGAUGGAUACUGGCGAGCUAGAGUACGGUAGAGGAGAGUGGAAUUCCCGGUGUAGCAGUGAAAUGCGUAGAGAUCGGGAGGAACAUCAGUUGCGAAGGCGGCUCUCUGGACGGCAACUGACGCUGAGGCACGAAAGCGUGGGGAGCAAACAGG
rnacentral:rRNA from 1 species